CCAGACGGGACCACCUCCAAGAUCUUUGGUUUCGUGGCCAAGAAGCCGGGAAGCCCCUGGGAGAAUGUGUGUCACCUCUUUGCAGAGCUUGACCCAGAUCAGCCUGCUGGCGCCAUUGUCACCUUCAUCACCAAAGUUCUACUGGGCCAGAGAAAAUGAAGGAAGGCCACAAGCUCAGAGCCCACAUCAACACUGCCCCCCUCCCAGCACCCCACAGCCCUCACAUCCCCUGGCCUGGACCCAGGAGACCCAGGAGAAAGCACCCUCCCUUAGGAAUGAGGAGUGGGCAUCAGGCCUGGGACACUGCUCUCCUUCCCCGCCCCCAGCCUGCUAAGUUAAGUGGACAGGCCCACAAGAUGACCUUGCAUGUGAGCAGAUGGCAGAGAUGGGUGUGUGAGGGGUGAGGAGGCAUCAGCAGUUGAGCCCCGAAGGAGAUCAGGCAGCCCCACCUGCAGGAGAACGUCAGCCCUCCAGGGGAUCAGCCCCUGCCAGUUCCACCCAGCUGCAGGUGCCAGCACGGCAGGGAUGGGAGAGGGGUGGGGAGCGAGUCACUGCCUCCUCUGAGCAGAGAUUCAGAGUAGGAUCACAUGAAUAGGGGAAAAAAGAGAGUCUAUUUUUGUCUAAUAAUAAAGAAUUU
rnacentral:lncRNA from 10 species